rnacentral:rRNA from 1 species
AAGAAAGCGAACAAAGAGCGUAUGGGGGAUGCCUAGGCUCUCAGAGAAGACGAAGGACGUGAUAAGCUGCGAAAAGCUACGAUGAGUCGCAAAUAGACGUUAAGAAUCGUAGAUGUCCGAAUGGGGCAACCCAGCUGACUGAAGGUCAGUUACUCGAAAGAGGUAGAACGCAGGGAACUGAAACAUCUAAGUACCUGUAGGAGGAGAAAAUAAGAAAAUGAUUCCGUAAGUAGUGGCGAGCGAACGCGGAAAAGCCCAAACCAUAUAGAGCAAUUUAUAUGGGGUAGAAGGACUGAAUAAUCUAUUACAAAGGAAGAGGAAUUGUCUGGGAAGGCAAACCAAAGAGGGUGAGAGUCCCGUAUUCGUAAAAUUUGUAAAGAGUCAGGAUCCUGAGUAGCACGAAACCAGAGGAAUUUUGUGUGAAUUUGCCGGUACCAUCCGGUAAGGCUAAAUACUCCUGAGAGACCGAUAGCGAACAAGUACCGUGAGGGAAAGGUGAAAAGAACUGCUAGGAGCAGAGUGAAAAGAACCUGAAACCAUACGCUUACAAGCGGUCGGAGCGAAAGUGACGGCGUGCCUUUUGCAUAAUGAGCCUACGAGUUACACUUCACUAGCAAGGUUAAGGUAUAGAGUACCGAAUCCGUAGGGAAACCGAGUCUGAAUAGGGCGAAUAAGUUAGUGGAGGUAGACGCGAAACCAGGUGAUCUACCCAUGAGCAGGUUGAAGUUGUGGUAACACACAAUGGAGGACCGCACCAAUAUACGUUGAAAAGUGUUUGGAUGACUUGUGGGUAGGGGUGAAAGGCCAAUCAAACCUGGAGAUAGCUCGUACUCCCCGAAAUGCAUUUAGGUGCAGCGUUGGAGUUAAUUUGUGAUGGAGGUAGAGCUACCGAUAGGGCUAGGGGGAGUCAAAUCCUACCAACCCCUGACGAACUCCGAAUGCCAUUACAAAGAACCAGCAGUGAGGCUAUGGGUGCUAAGGUCCAUAGCCAAGAGGGAAACAACCCAGACCACCAGCUAAGGUCCCCAAGUAUAUAUUAAGUUGAAAGAACGAGGUGGAGUUGCUAUGACAGCUAGGAUGUUGGCUUGGAAGCAGCCAUUCAUUUAAAGAGUGCGUAACAGCUCACUAGUCGAGUGACUCUGCGCGGAAAAUACUCGGGCAUCAAAUAUAUCACCGAAGCUGUGGAUCGUAAGAUGGUAGGGGAGCAUUCUAAGGUCAGCGAAGAUGUGCUGUGAGGCAUGUUGGAGAGCUUAGAAAAGAAAAUGUAGGCAUGAGUAACGAUAAAAUAGGUGAAAGUCCUAUUCACCGAAAGACCAAGGAUUCCAAUUCUAUGCAAGACAGAGUUGGGUUAGUCGGGACCUAAGGCAAAGCCGAGAGGCGGCGUCGAUGGCGAACUGGUUAAUAUUCCAGUACUUGCUGUAAUUGUGAAGCAGGGACGGAGCAGGCGGUUGGCUGCGAGCUGAUGGAAUAGCUCGUUGAAGAGUGGACGUAGGAUGUGUAGUGAAGUACGCACAUCACAGGAAACUCGAUAGUACUAGAAACUCUAUGGAGUGGAUAGAUAAUGCCAUUAGUCAUACUUCCAAGAAAAGCUGCUAAACUAUAGAUUACAGGAACCCGUACCGUAAACCGACACAGGUGGUCGAGGAGAGUAUCCUAAGGUGCACGAGAGAAUCAUGGCUAAGGAACUAGGCAAAAUGGGCGCGUAACUUCGGGAGAAGCGUCGCUCGGUGUAAAAACUGAGCCGCAGUGAAGAGGCCCAGGCGACUGUUUAGCAAAAACACAGGACUCUGCGAAGCUGAAAGGCAAAGUAUAGGGUCUGACACCUGCCCGGUGCCGGAAGGUUAAGGAAGGGGGUUAGCUUCGGCGAAGCUCUUAACUGAAGCCCCGGUAAACGGCGGCCGUAACUAUAACGGUCCUAAGGUAGCGAAAUUCCUUGUCGGGUAAGUUCCGACCUGCACGAAUGGUGUAACGAUCUGGGCACUGUCUCAGCCAUGAGCUCGGUGAAAUUGAAGUAUCGGUGAAGAUGCCGAUUACCCGCAACGGGACGAAAAGACCCCGUGAACCUUUACUAUAGCUUAACGUUGUCUUUGAGUAGUUGAUGUGUAGGAUAGGUGGGAGACUAUGAAGCUGGUACGCUAGUGCUGGUGGAGUCGUUGUUGAAAUACCACCCUUCAAUUGCUUAGAGACUAACCCCUGUGUGGGGACAUCGUUAGGUGGGUAGUUUGACUGGGGUGGUCGCCUCCUAAAAAGUAACGGAGGCUCCCAAAGGUUCCCUCAGCAUGGUUGGUAAUCAUGCAAAGAGCGUAUAAGUACAAGGGAGCUUGACUGCGAGACAAACAAGUCGAACAGGUACGAAAGUAGGGUUAAGUGAUCCGGUGUUUCUGAAUGGAAGGGACAUCGCUCAAAGGAUAAAAGGUACUCCGGGGAUAACAGGCUGAUCUCCCCCAAGAGCUCACAUCGACGGGGAGGUUUGGCACCUCGAUGUCGGCUCGUCACAUCCUGGGGCUGGAGAAGGUCCCAAGGGUUGGGCUGUUCGCCCAUUAAAGUGGCACGCGAGCUGGGUUCAGAACGUCGCAAGACAGUUCGGUCUCUAUCUGUUGUGGGCGUAGGAAUAUUGAGAAGCUUUGACUCUAGUACGAGAGGACCGAGUUGAACGAACCACUAGUGUAUCUGUUGUACAGCCGUGUGCAUUGCAGAGUAGCUAUGUUCGGAAUGGAUAAGCGCUGAAAGCAUCUAAGCGCGAAGCCAACUUCAAGAUGAGUAUUCCAUGAAGGGACGUUAAAGAUGAUGACGUAGAUAGGUUGCAGGUGGAAGCGCAGUGAUGUGUUAGGGAGCCGAGCAAUACUAAUGACCCGAAAGCUUUCUAUU